rnacentral:rRNA from 1 species
GUAAGGAAUAUUGGUCAAUGGACGAAAGUCUGAACCAGCCAUGCCGCGUGGAGGAUGAAGGUCCUCUGGAUUGUAAACUUCUUUUAUAUGGGACGAAAAUGGGGCUUUCUAGCUCAACUGACGGUACCAUAUGAAUAAGCACCGGCUAACUCCGUGCCAGCAGCCGCGGUAAUACGGAGGGUGCAAGCGUUAUCCGGAUUCACUGGGUUUAAAGGGUGCGUAGGUGGAUUGGUAAGUCAGAGGUGAAAUCUCCGGGCUCAACUCGGAAACUGCCUUUGAUACUAUCAAUCUUGAAUAUUGUGGAGGUUAGCGGAAUAUGUCAUGUAGCGGUGAAAUGCUUAGAUAUGACAUAGAACACCAAUUGCGAAGGCAGCUGGCUACACAUAUAUUGACACUGAGGCACGAAAGCGUGGGGAUCAAACAGGAUUAGAAACCCCAGUAGUCC